CCUACGGGUGGCUGCAGUAGGGAAUAUUGCUCAAUGGGGGAAACCCUGACGCAGCAACGCCGCGUGGAGGAUGAAGGUUUUCGGAUUGUAAACUCCUUUUGUUAGAGAAGAUAAUGACGGUAUCUAACGAAUAAGAACCGGCUAAUUCCGUGCCAGCAGCCGCGGUAAUACGGAGGGUGCAAGCGUUACUCGGCAGCACUGGGCGUAAAGAGCGCGUAGGCGGGAUAGCAAGUCAGAUGUGAAAUCCUAGGGCUUAACCAUAGAACUGCAUUUGAAACUGUUAUUCUAGAGUAUGGGAGAGGUAGGUGGAAUUCUUGGUGUAGGGGUAAAAUGCGUAGAGAUCAGGAGGAAUACUCGUGGCGAAGGCGACCUGCUGGAACAUAACUGACGCUGAUGCGCGAAAGCGUGGGGAGCAAACAGGAUUAGAUACCCCAGUAGUC
rnacentral:rRNA from 1 species